GACGAACGCUGGCGGCGUGCUUAACACAUGCAAGUCGAACGGAAAGGCCCUGCUUUUGUGGGGUGCUCGAGUGGCGAACGGGUGAGUAACACGUGAGUAACCUGCCCUUGACUUUGGGAUAACUUCAGGAAACUGGGGCUAAUACCGGAUAGGAGCUCCUGCUGCAUGGUGGGGGUUGGAAAGUUUCGGCGGUUGGGGAUGGACUCGCGGCUUAUCAGCUUGUUGGUGGGGUAGUGGCUUACCAAGGCUUUGACGGGUAGCCGGCCUGAGAGGGUGACCGGCCACAUUGGGACUGAGAUACGGCCCAGACUCCUACGGGAGGCAGCAGUGGGGAAUAUUGCACAAUGGGUGGAAGCCUGAUGCAGCAACGCCGCGUGCGGGAUGACGGCCUUCGGGUUGUAAACCGCUUUCGCCUGUGACGAAGCGUGAGUGACGGUAAUGAGUAAAGAAGCACCGGCUAACUACGUG
rnacentral:rRNA from 1 species